GAAGGGGGCACCUGAUCCGCCAUGCCGCGUGUGUGAAGAAGGCCUUCGGGUUGUAAAGCACUUUCAGCGAGGAAGAACGCCUGGCGGUUAAUACCCGGCUAGGAAAGACAUCACUCGCAGAAGAAGCACCGGCUAACUCCGUGCCAGCAGCCGCGGUAAUACGA
rnacentral:rRNA from 1 species